CCGAAUAUAGCUCAGCGGUAGAGCGGGAGACUGUAGUGUAUGGUAUCUCUAGUCCCUGAUUCUAAUCCGGGUGAACGUA